rnacentral:rRNA from 1 species
CACUGAGAGUGCAGCGCUCUUUGAUGAGCUCAUGUCCUAUCAGCUUGUUGGUAGGGUAACGGCCUACCAAGGCUUUGACGGGUAGCUGGUCUGAGAGGACGAUCAGCCACACUGGCACUGCGACACGGGCCAGACUCCUACGGGAGGCAGCAGUAAGGAAUAUUGCGCAAUGGGCGAAAGCCUGACGCAGCGACGCCGCGUGGGGGAUGAAGGUCUUCGGAUUGUAAACCCCUUUCGGGAGGGAAGAUGGAGCGAGCAAUCGUUCGGACGGUACCUCCAGAAGCAGCCACGGCCAACUUCGUGCCAGCAGCCGCGGUAAUACGAAGGUGGCAAGCGUUGUUCGGAUUCACUGGGCGUACAGGGUGUGUAGGCGGUUUGGUAAGCCUUCUGUUAAAGCUUCGGGCCCAACCCGGAAAGCGCAGAGGGUACUGCCAGGCUAGAGGGUGGGAGAGGAGCGCGGAAUUCCCGGUGUAGCGGUGAAAUGCGUAGAGAUCGGGAGGAAGGCCGGUGGCGAAGGCGG